GGAGGAGACAGGAACGGAAGAGAAGAGAAGACUGGGAGAGAGUAGCUGGGAACAACAUGGACGCUGACGUAAAGAUUCCAUGCUGCACCUUUACAGGCACCUCCAUCACGGUUUCCCUGGUGACUGCAUUAGUGUACCACCGGGAGUAUACAUCUACCAUGCAUGGCCGGUUGGUUGACAACUAUCGUGUCAACAUGGAAGGCAAGGAGGACACACAACAGAGGAGCCGAACAGAAGACAAAUAAGAGCACAUGAAACGGGGGCUGGAGAGAUGGCUCAGCGUUUAAGAGCACUGACUGCUCUUCCAGAGGUCCUGAGUUCAAAUCCCAGCACCCACAUGGCGGCUCACAACCAUCUGUAAUGAGAUCUGAUGCCCUCUUCUGGUGUGUCUGAAGACAGCAACAGUGUACUUAUAUAUAGUAAAUAAAUCUAAAAAAAAAUUCAUUUAA